UUCAAGAUUCUAAGAGCAAACGGUGGAUGCCUUGGCAUCUGGAGCCGAAGAAGGACGUAUAAAUCUGCGAUAAGCCUCGGGGAGCUGAUAAUAGAGCUUUGAUCCGAGGAUCUCCGAAUGGGGAAACCCCGCCAGGCCCUUUGGGUGACCUGGUGACUCCCGCCUGAAUAUAUAGGGCGGGUAGAGGGAACGUGGGGAAGUGAAACAUCUCAGUACCCACAGGAAGAGAAAGCAAAAGCGAUUCCGUUAGUAGUGGCGAGCGAAACCGGAAGAGGCCAAACCGAUCAUGUGUGAUAUCCGGUAGGAGUUGCAUGGUCGGGGUUGCGGGACUUUCCGUACAGUUCUACCGAGCUGUGAGGGCAAUGAGCGCGAUAUAGACGAAUGGUCUUGAAAGGCCAGUCAUAGAGGGUGCGAACCCCGUAGUCGAAAUGUCGUCGCCUGUCCGGAGAGUAUCCCAAGUAGCACGGGGCCCGAGAAAUCCCGUGUGAAUCUGUCAGGACCACCUGAUAAGCCUAAAUACUCCCAGAUGACCGAUAGCGGACAAGUACCGUGAGGGAAAGGUGAAAAGUACCCCGGGAGGGGAGUGAAAUAGUACCUGAAACCGUUUGCUUACAAACCGUUGGAGCACCCUUGUUGGUGUGACAGCGUGCCUUUUGAAGAAUGAGCCUGCGAGUUAGUGAUAUGUGGCGAGGUUAACCCGUGAGGGGCAGCCGUAGCGAAAGCGAGUCUUAAUAGGGCGUAUGAGUCGCAUGUUCUAGACCCGAAGCGAAGUGAUCUAUCCAUGGCCAGGUUGAAGCGACGGUAAGACGUCGUGGAGGACCGAACCCACUUCAGUUGAAAAUGGAGGGGAUGAGCUGUGGAUAGGGGUGAAAGGCCAAUCAAACUUCGUGAUAGCUGGUUCUCUCCGAAAUGCAUUUAGGUGCAGCGUUGCGUGUUUCUUGCCGGAGGUAGAGCUACUGGAUGGACGAUGGGCCCCAAAAGGUUACUGACUUCAGCCAAACUCCGAAUGCCGGUAAGUGAGAGCGCAGCAGUGAGACGGUGGGGGAUAAGCUUCAUCGUCGAGAGGGAAACAACCCAGACCACCAUCUAAGGUCCCUAAGCGCGUGCUAAGUGGGAAAGGAUGUGGAGUUGCAUAGACAACCAGGAGGUUGGCUUAGAAGCAGCCACCCUUGAAAGAGUGCGUAAUAGCUCACUGGUCAAGUGAUUCCGCGCCGACAAUGUAACGGGGCUCAAGCACGCCACCGAAGUUGUGGCAUUUAUAUUAUAGGCAGGCCUUCGUGGUCCAGCCGUAUGGAUGGGUAGGAGAGCGUCGUGUGGCCAGCGAAGCGGCGGUGUGAACCAGCCGUGGAGGCCACACGAGUGAGAAUGCAGGCAUGAGUAGCGAAAGACGGGUGAGAAACCCGUCCUCCGAAAGACCAAGGGUUCCAGGGCCAGGCUAAUCCGCCCUGGGUAAGUCGGGACCUAAGGCGAGGCCGACAGGCGUAGUCGAUGGACAACGGGUUGAUAUUCCCGUACCGAUGAAGAACCGCCCAAGACAAUCCAGUAAUGCUAAGUGUCUGAAUCCUUGAUUCGAUCCCUUCGGGGUGACGGUCUUGGCCUAGCACACGACCCUACGCUGGGGCGUUUAGCGUAUUAACAGGUGUGACGCAGGAAGGUAGCUGAGCCGGGCGAUGGUUGUCCCGGUCUAAGGAUGUAGGGCAGAAGAUAGGCAAAUCCGUCUUCUAUGUAGCCUGAGACCCGAUGGGUAGUCCU
rnacentral:rRNA from 1 species